ensembl:lncRNA
GUACUGCUGUACCGAGGGCCUCCAGUAAGUACUGUACUGCUGUACCGAGGGCCUCCAGUAAGUACUGUACUGCUGUACUGAGGGCCUCCAGUAAGUACCGUACUGCUGUACUGAGGGCCUCCAGUAAGUACCGUACUGCUGUACUGAGGGCCUCCAGUAAGUACUGUACUGCUGUACCGAGGGCCUCCAGUAAGUACCGUACUGCUGUACUGAGGGCCUCCAGUAAGUACCGUACUGCUGUACUGAGGGCCUCCAGUAAGAACAAAAGUUCAAUCCACAAAACGUUUUACAAAGAAAACCAACUGUUUUUAAACGGUUUUAAAUAUCCAGGAUACAACAUAGUCACUCUGUAAAGACAAAUGAUUGAGAAUCUACCAUCUGUUUUCAAGUGAUUUCCCGUAGCAGACAUGUUUACAGUGAGGAGAGACGACUGAAGCGCUAAGCAGAAGGCGAUAGAUCUAGCAGUCCCUGUAAGCUAAUCAGUAGUUAAGGUGAUGAGUGUGUAUUAAAAAUCACUUUUCUACAGUUUUAAACAUGUUUCACCCCAGGUAAUGGUUUUGUACAGUUGCUUUGAAAAGGAUAUGGGGCUUAAUGAACUAUUCUGUUGUCCACAGAUUGGACCAGUUUUACUGUCUACAACACUGUCAGGUAACGAGAAAGACACGGACACUGUUCAUCUAUCAUUACAACAUUUUGUAAGGUUUCCAAAAAGACCAGAAGGACAUCAACCAAAAAACUAAAACAUUCAUGUCGAAUAAAUCUAAUAAUGAUGGAACCAACUAUUUAUUUGUCUGCAUUGUGAGUGGUGAGACUGUCUGCUACUUUAGAACAAGCUACAAACCUGCACUAAAAGCCACAGGUGGUUUCAUUAAAGAGACUGGGGCAGCAUUAAGCAGAUGAUGAAAUAACUGGGCUUGAACCACCAGCAUUGGUGAUGAGGAAGUCACUUGUUGGUCAAACCCAGCAGCACAGCGUACAGUACUACUGCCAUGUGUUGGAGAUAGAGAGUCCCCUGACCUCUCCUCUUCUGCCUCCACUAGCCCUGGCUUCUACCUCAACCCAGCAGCACAGCGUACAGUACUACUGCCAUGUGUUGGAGAUAGAGAGUCCCCUGACCUCUCCUCUUCUGCCUCCACUAGCCCUGGCUUCUACCUCAACCCAGCAGCACAGUGUACAGUACUACUGCCAUGUGUUGGAGAUAGAGAGUCCCCUGACCUCUCCUCUUCUGCCUCCACUAGCCCUGGCUUCUACCUCAACCCAGCAGCACAGUGUACAGUACUACUGCCAUGUCACAGAGAUAGAGUCCCCUGACCUCUCCUCUUCUGCCUCCACUAGCCCUGGCUUCUACCUCAACCCAGCAGCACAGUACUACUGCCAUGUGUUGGAGAUAGAGUCCCCUGACCUCUCCUCUUCUGCCUCCACUAGCCCUGGCUUCUACCUCAACUCCACUUUCACUUUACCCACCUUAAAUGGCAUAGGGCCCAGUCACAACUACUACUGUAAAGACUACGUCCAAAAUGACGCCCUAUUCCCUAUUCAGUGCACUACUUUUGACCAGGGUCCAUAGGACGCUGGUCAAAAGUAGUGCACUAUAUAGGGAAUAGGGUAUCAUUUGGGGGACACAGCCUAAGACUGCCCCACUGACAGUAGACACACAUUAUGCCUGGUUAGUAAACUAUAAAACACCACAAUCUGGUUUUAACUCUUUUGAGACAUUCACACAAAUACCGUUUGUCACUGACUGACUUUCUCUUCUCUAUUCCUAUCAGUCUCCCACUUCCUCCCCUCUCUUUCACCGCCAACACGAGGCUUGUAUACCGUGCUGCCUGGUGUCGGACACACACAAGGCUUCGUGGACAGGCCAUCAGUAAAGAUAGUCUGAUUGUUGUAGUGGGUCUAAUGAUGGGCUCAGUGUUAGCUAGAGAGCUCUUGCAUACUGAAUGAAUGGUUCUAGUAUCUGAAACGUGUCCCCCGAACACUAGAACAAACGGAACAUUCCGUUCCUAACAGACCUUUUAUUUUAAAUGUUAGGUAACCCUGGUUCAGCCUCACUCUGUUGUUCUGUUGUCUGCGUUCCUUUCUCUGUUCCAAAUACAGAGUUUGUCCAAGCUUCACCAUCAGAUCCAUUCCUACUCUCUGCAGAGUCUAGGACUAAGUUUGUCUUCCGCCCCCCAAAUCAAAAUGUAUUUAACCCCAAUACUAAAACAAUAAAUGGCACAAAGAAACAAAA